AACGAACGCUGGCGGCAGGCCUCAAACAUGCAAGUCUAGGGGGUGUAGCAAUACAUCACCGGCGGACGGGUGCGUAACGCGUGGGAAUAUACCUAUCGAUUCGGAACAACUGAGGGAAACUUCAGCUAAUACCGAAUACGUCCUAACGGAGAAAGAUUUAUCGUCGAUAGAUUAGCCCGCGUUCGAUUAGCUAGUUGGUGGGGUAACGGCCCACCAAGGCGACGAUCGAUAGCUGUUCUGAGAGGAAGAUCAGCCACACUGGGACUGAGACACGGCCCAGACUCCUACGGGAGGCAGCAGUUGGGAAUCUUGGACAAUGGGGGGAAACCCUGAUCCAGCCAUGCCGCGUGAGUGAUGAAGGCCUUCGGGUUGGUAAAACUACUUUCGUCGCACGACGAUAAUGACGGUAGUGCGAGAAGAAGACUCCGGCCUAACUUCGUGCAGCAGCCGCGGUAAU
rnacentral:rRNA from 1 species